rnacentral:rRNA from 1 species
CUACGGGUCGCUGCAGUGGGGAAUAUUGCACAAUGGAGGAAACUCUGAUGCAGCAACGCCGCGUGGAGGAUGACACUUUUCGGAGCGUAAACUCCUUUUAUAUAGGAAGAAGAUGACGGUACUAUAUGAAUAAGCGCCGGCUAACUCCGUGCCAGCAGCCGCGGUAAUACGGAGGGCGCAAGCGUUACUCGGAAUCACUGGGCGUAAAGAGCGUGUAGGCGGAUUAAAAGGUCAGAAGUGAAAUCCUAUAGCUUAACUAUAGAACUGCUUCUGAAACUCUUAAUCUAGAAUAUGGGAGAGGUAGAAGGAAUUUCUGGUGUAGGGGUAAAAUCCGUAGAGAUCAGAAGGAAUACCGAUUGCGAAGGCGAUCUACUAGAACAUUAUUGACGCUGAGACGCGAAAGCGUGGGGAGCAAACAGGAUUAGAUACCCGCGUAGUC